GUGAACGCUGGCGGUAGGCCUAACACAUGCCAGUCGAACGGCAGCACCGUAAGAGCUUGCUCUUACGGGUGGCGAGUGGCGGACGGGUGAGGAAUACAUCGGAAUCUACUUUUUCGUGGGGGAUAACGUAGGGAAACUUACGCUAAUACCGCAUACGACCUACGGGUGAAAGCAGGGGAUCUUCGGACCUUGCGCGAUUGAAUGAGCCGAUGUCGGAUUAGCUAGUUGGCGGGGUAAAGGCCCACCAAGGCGACGAUCCGUAGCUGGUCUGAGAGGAUGAUCAGCCACACUGGAACUGAGACACGGUCCAGACUCCUACGGGAGGCAGCAGUGGGGAAUAUUGGACAAUGGGCGCAAGCCUGAUCCAGCCAUACCGCGUGGGUGAAGAAGGCCUUCGGGUUGUAAAGCCCUUUUGUUGGGAAAGAAAAGCAGCAGGUUAAUACCCCGCUGUUCUGACGGUACCCAAAGAAUAAGCACCGGCUAACUUCGUG
rnacentral:rRNA from 1 species